GAUGAACGCUAGCGGCAGGCUUAAUACAUGCAAGUCGUGGGGCAGCGCAGGUAGCAAUACUAGGCGGCGACCGGCAAACGGGUGCGGAACACGUACACAACCUUCCAAGAAGUGGGGAAUAGCCCAGAGAAAUUUGGAUUAAUACCCCGUAACAUAACGAUGUGGCAUCACAUUGUUAUUAUAGCUUCGGCGCUUCUUGAUGGGUGUGCGGCUGAUUAGAUAGUUGGCGGGGUAACGGCCCACCAAGUCUACGAUCAGUAGCUGAUGUGAGAGCAUGAUCAGCCACACGGGCACUGAGACACGGGCCCGACUCCUACGGGAGGCAGCAGUAAGGAAUAUUGGUCAAUGGACGCAAGUCUGAACCAGCCAUGCCGCGUGAAGGAUUAAGGUCCUCUGGAUUGUAAACUUCUUUUAUCUGGGACGAAAAAAGGCGAUUCUUCGUCACUUGACGGUACCAGAUGAAUAAGCACCGGCUAACUCCGUGCCAGCCGCCGCGGUAACAC
rnacentral:rRNA from 1 species